UACGUAGGAGGCAAGCGUUGUCCGGAAUUACUGGGCGUAAAGCGCGUGUAGGUGGUGGGACAAGUCUGCUGUGAAAGCGCCUGGCUUAACCGGGCGAGGUCGGCGGAAACUGUCCGACUCGAGGACGGUAGAGGGGGGUGGAAUUCCCGGUGUAGUGGUGAAAUGCGUAGAGAUCGGGAGGAACACCUGUGGCGAAGGCGGCCCCCUGGGCCGGCCCUGACACUGAGACGCGAAGGCGUGGGGAGCAAACGGG
rnacentral:rRNA from 1 species